CGAACGGAAGUCGUUGUAAUGAUGUUGACAUGAACAGAGAACUUGUUCAAAGGGAGUGAAGAUUGACUUACAACAAUGGCUUUAGUGGCGGACUGGUGAGUAACACGUAAGCAACCUGCCUAUCAGAGGGGAACAACAGUUAGAAAAGAAUGCUAAUACCGCAUAACGUAUUCGGAUGGCAUCUUCUGAAUACCAAAGGAGCAAUCCGCUGAAAGAUGAGCUCGCGUCUGAUUAGAUAGUUGGUGGGGUAACGGCCUACCAAGUCGACGAUCAGUAGCCGGACUGAGAGGUUGAACGGCCACAUUGGGACUGAGACACGGCCCAGACUCCUACGGGAGGCAGCAGUGGGGAAUAUUGCACAAUGGGCGAAAGCCUGAUGCAGCAACGCCGCGUGAGGGAAGACGGUCUUCGGAUUGUAAACCUCUGUCCUUGGUGAAGAAUAAAUGACGGUAGCCUUGGAGGAAGCCACGGCUAACUACGUG
rnacentral:rRNA from 1 species